rnacentral:rRNA from 1 species
UACGUAGGGUGCAAGCGUUGUCCGGAAUUAUUGGGCGUAAAGAGCUCGUAGGCGGUUUGUCGCGUCUGCUGUGAAAACUCGGGGCUUAACCCCGGGCCUGCAGUGGGUACGGGCAGACUAGAGUGCGGUAGGGGAGACUGGAAUUCCUGGUGUAGCGGUGAAAUGCGCAGAUAUCAGGAGGAACACCGGUGGCGAAGGCGGAUCUCUGGGCCAUAACUGACGCUGAGGAGCGAAAAGCAUGGGGAGCGAACAGG